UUCCUCACAGCGGUGAUGCAGACAGGCGAUCGGUGCGGGCGUGCGUACGUAUGCGUACGUGCGCGCGGAUGCGUGCACGCGUAUG
rnacentral:misc_RNA from 1 species